UUUUAUGGAGAGUUUGAUCCUGGCUCAGGAUGAACGCUGGCGGCGUGCCUAAUACAUGCAAGUCGAGCGAACAGACGAGGAGCUUGCUCCUCUGACGUUAGCGGCGGACGGGUGAGUAACACGUGGAUAACCUACCUAUAAGACUGGGAUAACUUCGGGAAACCGGAGCUAAUACCGGAUAAUAUAUUAAACCGCAUGGUUCAAUAGUGAAAGACGGUUUUGCUGUCACUUAUAGAUGGAUCCGCGCCGCAUUAGCUAGUUGGUAAGGUAACGGCUUACCAAGGCAACGAUGCGUAGCCGACCUGAGAGGGUGAUCGGCCACACUGGAACUGAGACACGGUCCAGACUCCUACGGGAGGCAGCAGUAGGGAAUCUUCUGCAAUGGGCGAAAGCCUGACGGAGCAACGCCGCGUGAGUGAUGAAGGUCUUCGGAUCGUAAAACUCUGUUAUUAGGGAAGAACAAAUGUGUAAGUAACUAUGCACGUCUUGACGGUACCUAAUCAGAAAGCCACGGCUAACUACGUGCCAGCAGCCGCGGUAAUACGUAGGUGGCAAGCGUUAUCCGGAAUUAUUGGGCGUAAAGCGCGCGUAGGCGGUUUUUUAAGUCUGAUGUGAAAGCCCACGGCUCAACCGUGGAGGGUCAUUGGAAACUGGAAAACUUGAGUGCAGAAGAGGAAAGUGGAAUUCCAUGUGUAGCGGUGAAAUGCGCAGAGAUAUGGAGGAACACCAGUGGCGAAGGCGACUUUCUGGUCUGUAACUGACGCUGAUGUGCGAAAGCGUGGGUAUCAAACAGGAUUAGAUACCCUGGUAGUCCACGCCGUAAACGAUGAGUGCUAAGUGUUAGGGGGUUUCCG
rnacentral:rRNA from 1 species